rnacentral:rRNA from 1 species
AUACGAAGGGUGCAAGCGUUAAUCGGAAUUACUGGGCGUAAAGCGUGCGUAGGCGGUUUGUUAAGUCAGAUGUGAAAGCCCCGGGCUCAACCUGGGAACUGCAUUUGAUACUGGCAGGCUAGAGUACGGUAGAGGGUGGUGGAAUUCCCGGUGUAGCGGUGAAAUGCGUAGAGAUCGGGAGGAACAUCCGUGGCGAAGGCGGCCACCUGGACCGAUAUUGACGCUGAGACGCGAAAGCGUGGGGAGC